rnacentral:rRNA from 1 species
UACGGAGGGUGCGAGCGUUGUCCGGAAUCACUGGGCGUAAAGGGCGCGUAGGUGGCUUCUCAAGCGCGCGGUGAAAGCCCGGGGCUCAACCUGGGAACAGCGCUUGAGACUGGCACGCUCGAGUUCGGGAGAGGAUGGUGGAAUUCCCAGUGUAGAGGUGAAAUUCGUAGAUAUUGGGAAGAACACCGAUGGCGAAGGCAGCCAUCUGGACCGACACUGACGCUGAGGCGCGAAAGCGUGGGGAGCAAACAGG